CCUCCAGGCCCAUUGUGUCUCUUUCUCUCUCGGAGCAGCUGGGGAUCGUGUGUAUUUUCACCAGGUAAAGAAAGCUUUUUAUGGUUCACUGACUGAGGACAAUCAACCCCUUCACAAUCUAGAACCUGAAGAUUGGAUCUUCUGAGAACAUCAGAGAAAGACUGCCCUUGCCAUCCACACUGCAGCAAACAUCAGAACCAUGAACCUUGGCUUCAUAAUCUCACAACUGAGAAGGAUCCCUCCACAUUCUUGGAAAUAUACACCCAUUGGAACCCGUAAGCAGACCAUGUGUCAACGUAUGCAGAGUUUGUGCAGACACACAGAUCCUCUGGGGAGUAUAUGUUUGAAUCUGAUGAAGAUGAGCAGUUAUUUGUGCACCUGGACAAGAAGGAGAUGGUCUGGCAUCUGUGACAGUUUAUUCACACUGUGUCAAACUUUCUCAGUCAGAAGUUGACAUAAGGAAGUCACCAGCUUCGGUCUCCUUUAAAUCUCCAGGCCUAACUUUUUUUUGAAUCUCUGCUCUUCAACCACAAUGACUUAUGUACCCCAAGACCCCUCUACCUCCUGGCUGCCUAUGAUCCUCCUGCACCUAGCACUCAGCAAAGGGUCUGACAUUUAGAUAGCCCUCAAUCAAUAUGAAGAAUUUAAAGUGUAGUGACAAGGUGGUGCCCACACUGGAUGGUCUGUAUGC